rnacentral:rRNA from 1 species
GAUGAACGCUGGCGGCGUGCUUAACGCAUGCAAGUCGAGCGAAGCAGUUAAGUUGAUUUCUUCGGAUUGAUUCUUAACUGACUGAGCGGCGGACGGGUGAGUAACGCGUGGGUGACCUGCCCCAUACCGGGGGAUAACAGCUGGAAACGGCUGCUAAUACCGCAUAAGCGCACAGAGCUGCAUGGCUAGGUGUGAAAAACUCCGGUGGUAUGGGAUGGGCACGCGUCUGAUUAGGCCGUUGGCGGGGUAACGGCCCACCAAACCGACGAUCAGUAGCCGGCCUGAGAGGGCGACCGGCCACAUUGGGACUGAGACACGGCCCAAACUCCUACGGGAGGCAGCAGUGGGGAAUAUUGCACAAUGGGGGAAACCCUGAUGCAGCGACGCCGCGUGAGCGAAGAAGUAUUUCGGUAUGUAAAGCUCUAUCAGCAGGGAAGAUAAUGACGGUACCUGACUAAGAAGCCCCGGCUAACUACGUGCCAGCAGCCGCGGUAACAC